GUGGUAGUGACGAACCAACGGAAACGGAAGGUGGGCCGCAGUGUUAAAGAGAAAGACGCCACCGCACGCCGCCACCGGUACCAGACUCACGUCCGACGCCAUUAUCUCACCAAGAAAAUCCAGUGGAAAUUAGUGCGUUGGUCGCCUUUGUUUGCAGAGUCCUGUGGAGGUUGUUCGCCCCCUAACCUUAUUUUAAAAUGGCUGAUAACGAUGAUCUUCUCGACUACGAAGAUGAGGAGCAGCCAGAACAGGCCGUCGUUGACGGAUCCGGUGACACUGGAGCGAAGAAGGAAGUGAAGGGUACUUACGUAUCCAUCCACAGUUCUGGCUUCAGAGAUUUCUUGCUCAAACCUGAGAUUCUCCGAGCAAUUGUUGAUUGUGGUUUUGAGCAUCCAUCGGAAGUUCAGCAUGAAUGCAUUCCUCAGGCCGUCCUUGGUAUGGAUAUAUUGUGCCAGGCUAAAUCUGGUAUGGGAAAGACAGCAGUCUUUGUGUUGGCUACUCUCCAACAAUUGGAACCGACAGAGAACCAAGUCUAUGUUCUUGUUAUGUGCCACACCCGAGAAUUGGCUUUUCAAAUCAGCAAAGAAUAUGAAAGAUUCUCAAAAUACAUGUCUCAAGUAAAGGUGAGCGUGUUCUUUGGUGGCUUGCCGAUCCAGAAAGAUGAGGAGGUCUUAAAGAACAACUGUCCCCACAUUGUUGUGGGCACCCCUGGCCGUAUUCUGGCGCUUGUGCGUUCUAAGAAGCUUAAUCUCAAACACUUAAAGCACUUCAUCCUUGAUGAGUGUGACAAGAUGCUGGAGCUACUUGACAUGAGGAAAGACGUCCAGGAGAUCUUCCGCAGCACACCUCACAGCAAGCAAGUGAUGAUGUUCAGCGCCACUCUCAGCAAGGACAUUCGCCCAGUCUGCAAGAAGUUCAUGCAAGACCCUAUGGAAGUUUAUGUUGAUGAUGAAACAAAGUUGACCCUCCACGGACUCCAGCAGCAUUAUGUGAAGCUGAACGAGAAUGAGAAGAACAAGAAGCUUUUCGAGCUUUUGGACAUUCUAGAGUUCAACCAGGUUGUCAUCUUUGUCAAAUCAGUCCAAAGGUGUAUGGCUUUAGCUCAGCUAUUGACAGAACAAAAUUUCCCAGCAAUUGCUAUCCACAGAAUGACAACUCAAGAGGAGAGAUUGUCACGUUACCAGCAGUUCAAAGAUUUUCAAAAGCGUAUUUUGGUUGCCACCAACCUCUUUGGAAGAGGCAUGGAUAUUGAGCGAGUGAAUAUUGUGUUCAACUAUGACAUGCCUGAAGACUCUGAUACCUAUUUACACAGAGUGGCGCGCGCUGGUAGAUUUGGUACCAAGGGGUUGGCCAUUACUUUUGUUAGUGAUGAAAAUGAUGCCAAGAUUUUGAAUGAAGUUCAAGACCGUUUUGAUGUCAACAUUACUGAACUACCUGAUGAGAUUGACCUGUCAUCUUACAUUGAAGGACGGUAAUCAUGUAACUUUCCUAUUUCACCAAUUUAAAAAAACACAUGUGAUAUGGUACAAAUGAUGGUGUAGCUUGACGUUGUAGCUUGCUGGUACUAGGAGUGUAUUAAAGUGCUCUAAUACUUCCUAGUAGAUAUGUAUCAUUUUAACAGCACGUCACCCUUAUCAUUUUUUUUUUCAUUCUUCAUUUCAUCAAUUGUCAUUAGUGACUUAAGGUUUCUUUAAUCAGAUUGUGAAGCAUUUUUCCCCUUGACGUGUAACUAGAUAACUUGAGUCAAUGAGUUGCUAAUAAAUGUAAAUUUCUUAACAAA